CCUACGGGGGGCUGCAGUGGGGAAUUUUGGACAAUGGGCGCAAGCCUGAUCCAGCAAUGCCGCGUGAGUGAAGAAGGCCUUCGGGUUGUAAAGCUCUUUCAGUUGAGAAGAAAAAGUCGUGACUAAUAAUCAUGAUUCAUGACGGUAUCAACAGAAGAAGCACCGGCUAACUACGUGCCAGCAGCCGCGGUAAUACGUAGGGUACAAGCGUUAAUUGGAAUUACUGGGCGUAAAUGGUGAAGAGGCAUGUGAAAUCCCCGGGCUUAACCUGGGAACUGCGUUUGAAACUGCAGAGCUAGAGUGCGGCAGAGGGAGGUGGAAUUCCAUGUGUAGCAGUGAAAUGCGUAGAGAUAUGGAAGAACAUCGAUGGCGAAGGCAACCUCCUGGGCUAGCACUGACGCUCAUGCACGAAAGCGUGGGGAGCAAACAGGAUUAGAUACCCGAGUAGUC
rnacentral:rRNA from 1 species